UCUGAUUCGAGUGCGGACGGUAACAAUGUAAUCGCGAACGAAAAUUUUAAUUUAUCAGUGGAAUUUAAAGUGAACAAACAAAUGACCUGUGAAAAUCUAACGGGCUAUAGCUUUGUAAGUGAGGUGUUAAUUCGUGUUCUGUGCGUAUGGACUCCGCAGUAAUUUCAAACUCAUUUGGCUCCUCCAGACAUGGGAUAUCCAAACUGUCGUCGAUGCAGGGCUCUACGCCCGCUCUUGGUAUGCUUUCAUCCAUCGUUAAGCAGAAUACGAUGUUAGGCGGACUUGAAAUAGACCGAAUAGAAUUGCCUUCGAACUCAGGGCUUUGCUUAGGCUUGGAAAUGUCAGUCCCGUUACCUGUUGUGGGUCGAAUUCCAAACGCCUGCCAGAAGUCAUAGCCGCAGAUCAGCUCCUUAGCUAUUUCCGGGAUAACGACGGUUGGGACAACCCUAGUUUUACCAUCGAAUGUAAAAGGUUUAAGCGCUUUAUCAAAUCCAGAGAACUGAUGACAGAGAUGCUUGCUCCGGAGUCUAAGAGACCUUCGACUUCCGUACCUAGGAUUUGCACAGUAAUGUGUGGGCAGGUAACUAGGCUAAGAUUAAUAAUGAAAACUUGGUUAAAAUAGUUAUAACUUUCAUUUAAAGGGAUCUCUGAGAUAUUUUGAGUAGAAGAAGGUGGAUCCCGUCUGACUUCUUCUUUGAUUAGUUUUUUUCGUUCAUCUCUCCGUCAUGCUGAUUUGGGCAGUUGCUUUUCGUAACGUUUGGUUCACCACAAGCGUAGCAAUAGACCCGUUUUUGCUCUUGACAAUCUCGA